GACGAACGCUGGCGGCGUGCCUAAUACAUGCAAGUAGAACGCACAGUUUAUACCGUAGCUUGCUACACCAUAGACUGUGAGUUGCGAACGGGUGAGUAACGCGUAGGUAACCUGCCUGGUAGCGGGGGAUAACUAUUGGAAACGAUAGCUAAUACCGCAUAAUAUUAAUUAUUGCAUGAUAAUUAAUUGAAAGGUGCAAUUGCACCACUACCAGAUGGACCUGCGUUGUAUUAGCUAGUAGGUGAGGUAACGGCUCACCUAGGCGACGAUACAUAGCCGACAUGCGAGGGUGAUCGGCCACACUGGGACUGAGACACGGCCCAGACUCCUACGGGAGGCAGCAGUAGGGAAUCUUCGGGAAUGGGCGAAAGUCUGACCGAGCAACGCCGCGUGAGUGAAGAAGGUUUUCGGAUCGUAAAGCUCGGUUGUAAGAGAAGAACGGGUGUGAGAGUGGAAAGUUCACACUGUGACGGUAUCUUACCAGAAAGGGACGGCUAACUACGUG
rnacentral:rRNA from 1 species